UACGGAGGGUGCAAACGUUGCUCGGAAUCAUUGGGCGUAAAGCGCACGUAGGCGGCCUGUUAAGUCGGGUGUGAAAGCCCUGGGCUCAACCCAGGAAGUGCACUCGAAACUGGCGGGCUUGAAUAUGGAAGAGGGUCGCGGAAUUCCUGGUGUAGCGGUGAAAUGCGCAGAUAUCAGGAGGAACACCGGAGGCGAAGGCGGCUCACUGGGAGUUUUCUGACGCUGAGGAACGAAAGCCAGGGUAGCGAACGGG
rnacentral:rRNA from 1 species